GGGGGUAUAGCUCAGUAGUAGAGUGCUUGCUUGCUAAUCAAGUAGUCCUUGGUUCAAACCCAAGUGCCCUCU